UGUCUCCUUUCUCCAAUCAGUGAAACUGAUCUUCCCGUGAAGAAGCGGAAAUUAAUUUAUAAGACGAGAAGACCCCAUGGAGCUUUAAACCCAAUUACAUCCUUAUAUUUAAAAUCUUCAUAGCUUUUAAGGUAUUGUAUAUUCGGUUUUAGGUUGGGGUGACCGCGGAGCAUAAAUAAGCCUCCACGAUGAAUGGAAUUAUUUUCCUUAUCUAAGAACUACAUUUCUAAGAAUUAAUAUUUUAACAUAUAAUGAUCCAAUAUUUGAUCAACGAACCAAGUUACCCUGGGGAUAACAGCGCAAUCCACUUCAAGAGCCCCUAUCGACAAGUGGGUUUACGACCUCGAUGUUG
rnacentral:rRNA from 1 species